GGUAAAGUAAAACAAUUUUUCCAUUUCUUAAAUUUCACUUCCCCCUGCCGAGCAAAGGAAUUGUGGUUGGAGCUGCCAUCAAUCCUCCAUGCACGGUACUGCUCUUGAGCUUCGAAUUUAAAAUAUCACAAAUUUUGUAAGAAUCUCUGAAAAGCCCUUUGUGAUUGCGUUUGUAAGUUCAAAAUGGUAACUAUUUGAGAAACCCUAUAAUAUGGGUUGAAGGUCUUCCGAAUCGGGUUCAAGUUUCUCGUUCUGAAGAGGCGAGGAGUCAAGUGUGGUCAAGCUCAAGGUUUUGCAAAUUUUAUUUUUCCUAGCCGAACAAAUGAAUCGUGCCCCCCUUGAACACGAAUAAAAACUUUACACAAAGGAGAUGUUUCAGCUGCUUCUUUCUGUUUAUAUCUAGGAAUGAAAGAUGAUGAUGCUACAAAUUGUAAGAAAUUUUCACUCUCCUAGAAGCUUUUGAAUUGGAUAUUGGUUAUAUUUUGUACUUGGACUGUUUACGCUCUUCCCUUCUUAUUAUUGACAUGUUUCUUGUAUUAUUUGGAUGAACUACAACAAGCCUGGACUAUUGCCCUGCCUCUUAGAUGCUUAUUGUAAAGAAGCAACCUGUUGUGACAUAGCAGAAACUUAAUCAUAGUAAAUUGUAGCUAUUGACAGAAUAUGUCUUCCAUCUUGAGCAUUGAAGCUUUCAGUUAUGAAGAAUUAGAUGUUUUACUGUAUAUGAAAUUCUUCUCAACAAUCAAACAUUCUAUGUUCUUGAAAGUAAAUGUAUAUUGAUAAUUUUGUAGCCAA